rnacentral:rRNA from 1 species
ACGGGGUAGUAAUGUGUCGGAACGUGCCCAGAGGACGGGGAUAGCGGCGGGAAACUGCCGGUAAUACCCGAUGAUCUCGAGAGAGCAAAGGUGUGAUUCCGCCUUUGGAGCGGCCGACAUGGUAUUAGCUAGUUGGCGGGGUAACGGCCCACCAAGGCUGUGAUGCCUAGGGGGUGUGAGAGCAUGAUCCCCACCAUUGGGACUGAGACACUGCCCAGACACCUACGGGUGGCUGCAGUCGAGAAUCUUCGUCAAUGGGCGAAAGCCUGAACGAGCGACGCCGCGUGCGGGAUGAAGGCCUUUGGGUUGUAAACCGCUGUCGAGGGGGAUGAAGGCAUUCAGGUCCUCCUGAAUGUUUGACAGAGCCCUGGAGGAAGCACGGGCUAAGUUCGUGCCAGCAGCCGCGGUAAUACGAACUGUGCGAACGUUAUUCGGAAUCACUGGGCUUACAGGGUGCGUAGGCGGCUUAGCAAGUCAGGUGUGAAAGCCCCCGGCUCAACCGGGGAACUGCGCUUGAAACUGCUGAGCUCGAGUCAGCUAGAGGUACACGGAACUUCCAGUGGAGCGGUGAAAUGUGUUGA